AUUGAACGCUGGCGGCAUGCUUUACGCAUGCAAGUCGAACGGCAGCGCGGGCUUCGGCCUGGCGGCGAGUGGCGAACGGGUGAGUAAUACAUCGGAACGUGCCCAGUAGUGGGGGAUAGCUCGGCGAAAGCCGGAUUAAUACCGCAUACGACCUGAGGGUGAAAGCGGGGGAUCUUCGGACCUCGCGCUAUUGGAGCGGCCGAUGGCAGAUUAGCUAGUUGGUGGGGUAAAGGCCUACCAAGGCGACGAUCUGUAGCUGGUCUGAGAGGACGACCAGCCACACUGGGACUGAGACACGGCCCAGACUCCUACGGGAGGCAGCAGUGGGGAAUUUUGGACAAUGGGCGAAAGCCUGAUCCAGCAAUGCCGCGUGUGUGAUGAAGGCCUUCGGGUUGUAAAGCACUUUUGGCGGGAACGAAAAGGACUGUGCCAAUACCACGGUUCGAUGACGGUACCCGCAGAAUAAGCACCGGCUAACUACGCG
rnacentral:rRNA from 1 species